rnacentral:ncRNA from 2 species
AGGUGCCCACACGGCGCUGGCCAGUGCCCAUCCGGGCACUGAGGGAACACGGUCGCACCGUGGCUGCCCCCGCAACUGUAAGCAGCGAGUCCACGCACCCUGGCCACUGAGCAGCGCUCGGGAAGGCCGCGGAGGAUGACGACCUGCCAGCCAGGAGACCUGCCGGUGAAACCAGUCGCGU